CCUACGGGAGGCAGCAGCAGGGAAUUUAGCGCAAUAGGGCGAAAGCCUAGACGCAGCAACGCCGCGUAGAGGGAAGAAGGCCUAGCGGGUCGUAAACCUUUUUUCGGGGAAGAAGUAGACGGUACCCGAGGAAUAAGCCUCGGCUAACUACGUACCAGCAGCCGCGGUAAUACGUAGGAGGCUAGCGUUGUCCGGAUUCAUUGGGCGUAAAGGGAGCGCAGGUGGCCGGGUUAGUCCGUGGUGCAAUCUCCAGGCUCAACUUGGAGAGGUUACGGAUACUAGCUCGGCUUGAGGACGGUAGAGGAGCACGGAAUUCCUGGUGUAGUGGUGAAAUGCGUAGAUAUCAGGGGGAACACCCGUGGCGAAAGCGGUGCUCUGGGCCGAUCCUGACACUCAGGCUCGAAAGCGUGGGGAGCAAACCGGAUUAGAUACCCGGGUAGUCCACGCCCUAAACGAUGAGUGCUGGGUAUGGGGGGUAUCGACCCCCCCCGUGCCGAAGCUCACGCGUUAAGCACUCCCGCCUGGGGACUACGGCCGCAAGGCUAAAACUCAAAGGAAUUGACGG
rnacentral:rRNA from 1 species